rnacentral:rRNA from 1 species
UACGAAGGGAGCUAGCGUUGUUCGGAAUCACUGGGCGUAAAGCGCACGUAGGCGGCUUUCUAAGUCGGGGGUGAAAUCCUGGAGCUCAACUCCAGAACUGCCUUCGAUACUGGAGAGCUCGAGUCCGGGAGAGGUGAGUGGAACUGCGAGUGUAGAGGUGAAAUUCGUAGAUAUUCGCAAGAACACCAGUGGCGAAGGCGGCUCACUGGCCCGGUACUGACGCUGAGGUGCGAAAGCGUGGGGAGCAAACAGGG